rnacentral:rRNA from 1 species
AUGGCGGCCAGGCACUCGUACCCGCCCACGCGGGCCACGCGGAGCGCGCCGGCGCCUCGGCCGCCAUUGUCCCGCCUCGGGGAGUCGGAGACGGCGGCGGCCCACCCCGGCGCCGACCCGGAGGCGCGCCGCAAGGCCAAGAAGCAGAACCAGCUGUGGCCCAAGACGGUGCUGCGCAAGUGGCUCAACAUCCGGUCGCCGGACUCCGACUUCAGCGCCGACGAGGGCGACACCGCCGACGAGGCCGCCAGCGACUCCGAGUACGAAGAGAUGUGCGGAUGGGAACGCCAGCGAUAUGAUCAGGACCGGAGAAUGCGUGGAUUGGGUGCCCAGACUACUGAUAGCCAAAUGGAGGGUGUUCCAUACGGUCUUAAUAGAAGGCGCAAGUCAGAGACUCUUCGUGCUCAGUAUAUCGAUGUCAAGGAACUGAGGGUCUGCAUAGGAACUUGGAAUGUUGCAGGCAAACUUCCACCUCAAGAUUUGGAUAUUCAAGAAUGGUUGGAUAUGAAGGAGCCGGCUGACAUAUAUGUUCUUGGAUUUCAAGAAGUUGUUCCAUUAAAUGCUGGGAAUAUAUUUGGUGCGGAAGACAACCGUCCUGCUUCCAUGUGGGAGCAUAUCAUUCGUGAAACACUGAAUAAGAUUAGUCCAGAUAAACCAAAAUAUAAAAGUCACAGUGAUCCUCCAUCUCCAUCAAGGUUCAAGCCAUCUGAUGACGCUCUUGCAAUGGAAGAUGAACUUAAUAGCGAGUCUGACAGCGAAAGUGGUGGGGAAGUGCACCCAUGGAACGAACAAGAUUUAGUUGUUGUUGAUGAUGAUGAUAGUCAUAGCAACAGACUUGAACACUCCACUUCUGCUCCUGACGAAUCUAUUCUACAGGCUGAUAACUUCAGCAAGUUGCCUUCAAUGAAGACUUUCAAUAGAUCCCAUAACAUAGUAAGUUUUAAAGAUUACACCUCUCUUUUGGAAGAGCCGAUCAACCAAAAGAUGUUAACCAAGACACUCAGUCACUCGGAGAGGCUUGGAAUGAUUUGGCCAGAACAACCAUUGGAUAUGUUGGCUCAAUGUCUUCCAGACAGCACACAACCGUUUGCUUCCGGGAAGGCACUAAAAACAUAUUUGUCUUUCAAAUCAGUUAAUGAAGAUUCCUGUGCUUUUCCCGAGGAUAGUGCACUUCAUGGUUUAAACAUUGAAAGUGUGGUAGCUAAAGGAAAAAGACCAUACUUUGUUAGGAUAAUAAGCAAGCAGAUGGUCGGAGUAUUUCUCACAAUAUGGGUACGAAGGAGCCUGCGAAAGCGCAUUCAGAAUGUGAAAGUAUCAACUGUAGGUGUAGGUGCUAUGGGGUACAUUGGUAACAAGGGAUCAAUAGCAGUAAGUAUGUCGAUAUAUCAAACACACUUCUGCUUUCUUUGUUGUCACCUGACCUCUGGAGAAAAGGAAGGAGAUGAACAAAAAAGGAAUGCGGAUGUGCAAGAGAUCCAUCGAAGGACAGUAUUUAAUUCCAGAGUGAGCACGCCUAAGACAAUAUAUGACCACGAAAGGAUAUUCUGGCUAGGGGAUCUGAAUUAUAGGAUCAACUUAUCAUACGAAAAAACACAUGAGUUUAUCUCCAACCACGACUGGAAUGGAUUGUUUGAGAAAGACCAGCUAAGAAGAGAACUGAGGAAAGGACGUUUAUUUGAUGGGUGGACUGAAGGAGUUAUCAGCUUUUCUCCAACAUACAAGUACCGGUUUAACUCGAAGAAGUACACAAGUGAUGAGCCAAAAUCUGGGAGAAGGACACCUUCAUGGUGCGACCGAAUUCUUUCGUACGGCAAGGGAAUGAGGUUAUUGUCCUAUGAGACGGUUGACAUGAGGCUAUCCGAUCACCGCCCCGUUAAAGCCGUGUACACGGUUGAUACAGAGGUUUUCAGCCCCAAAAAGUUGCAGAGAGCUCUCACCUUCACCGACGCGGAGGUCGAGGACCGGCUGUCCUCUGAGGACGAGCGCAUCGCUGGAAUCUACAGCCUUGGGCUGUCGUAA